rnacentral:lncRNA from 1 species
CAUACAAGUAUGAAUCGCCUCCUCCACCACCAUAUAAGUACGAAUCGCCACCGCCACCACCAUACAAGUACGAGUCGCCUCCUCCACCUCCGUACAAGUAUGAAUCGCCUCCUCCCCCACCAUACUACUACAAAUCACCACCACCACCUCCUUACAAGUAUGAAUCUCCCCCUCCACCUCCAUAUUACUACAAAUCUCCACCCCCGCCACCACCUUACUACUACAAAUCACCACCACCACCUUCUCCUGUCUACAAAUAUAAAUCUCCACCACCACCACCUUACAAGUACGAAUCUCCUCCUCCACCUCCAUACUAUUACAAGUCUCCACCACCACCGCCGUAUUACUACAAGUCUCCACCACCACCACCUCCAGUUUACAAAUACAAAUCUCCUCCUCCGCCACCAUAUUACUACAAAUCACCACCUCCUCCAUCACCAGUAUAUUACUACAAAUCUCCUCCUCCACCAGCGUAUUACUACAAAUCUCCCCCACCGCCUGUCUACUAUUACAAAUCCCCGCCACCUCCAGCUUACCACUACCAAUCGCCACCCCCACCAAGUUACAAGCUGGUAGUGGUCACGGGCAAGGUCUAUUGCAACAGAUGCUGGAACACCACAAGCAGAUACCUUCAGGCAUCACCACAUGGGUCUGCUAGGUACAUUCUCAAUUGCAUUGUAUUCGAUAUUGUUCUCCUCACUCAUUUCCUCUUGAUACUGUGUGCAAUAAUGCAGGUGGCAAAGUGAAGAUCACAUGUGGCGAAUCUUACUACUACGGCUACACCAACAAGCAUGGAAUCUUUAGAAUUGAGCUCCCGCACCAAUCCUGGGAAGAAGCAAGCAGCUGCAAGGCCAAGAUUAUCAAGAGCAGCUACAUCAAGUCGUCAUGCAAUGUCAUCACGGACUACAGGUCUGGUGCAACAGGGGCCAAGCUCAAGUUCAAAUCGAAAACAGAGAAGGAGCUCGUCUUGACAGCCGGUCCUUUCAUCUAUGCAACUCCAGAGCCAUCGUCAGUCUGCUUCUACACAUCACCUCCCUAUGAGUACAAGUCACCUCCGCCACCAACACCGGUCUACCAUUACGCCUCUCCGCCACCUCCGGUCUACUACUACAAAUCGCCACCUCCUCCUUCACCGGUUUACUACUACAAAUCCCCUCCUCCUCCUUCGCCGGUCUACUAUUACAAAUCCCCGCCUCCACCACCAUACUAUUACAAGUCCCCACCUCCACCUCCGCCUAAGUAUUACUACAAGUCGCCCCCACCACCGUCUCCAUACUAUUACAAAUCCCCGCCCCCUCCACCGUACUAUUACAAAUCCCCACCACCACCUCCCUACAAAUACGAAUCGCCGCCGCCUCCUCCUUACAAAUACGAGUCCCCACCUCCACCACCUUACUAUUACAAGUCCCCACCACCACCUCCAUACAAAUAUGAAUCCCCGCCACCUCCAGUCUACAAAUAUGAGUCUCCGCCACCCCCAGUUUACAAAUACAAGUCGCCACCACCACCAUACAAGUACGAGUCACCACCACCACCUCCAUACAAGUAUGAAUCCCCGCCACCUCCACCUUAUUACUACAAGUCCCCUCCACCACCACCAUACAAGUACGAGUCGCCACCACCUCCUCCGUACAAGUAUGAAUCUCCACCACCACCAGUUUACAAAUACAAGUCACCUCCGCCGCCACCUUAUUACUACAAAUCCCCACCGCCACCUCCAUACAAGUACGAGUCUCCACCUCCUCCUCCGUACAAGUAUGAAUCUCCACCACCACCACCUUAUUACUACAAAUCCCCCCCGCCACCUCCAUACAAGUACGAGUCACCGCCUCCUCCUCCGUACAAGUAUGAAUCUCCACCACCGCCAGUUUACAAAUACAAGUCACCCCCGCCACCACCUUAUUACUACAAAUCCCCGCCACCACCUCCAUACAAGUACGAGUCUCCACCUCCUCCUCCGUACAAGUAUGAAUCUCCACCACCACCUCCUUAUUACUACAAAUCCCCGCCGCCACCUCCCUACAAGUAUGAAUCCCCGCCACCACCUCCCUACAAAUACGAGUCACCUCCACCACCACCUUACUAUUACAAAUCUCCUCCACCGCCUCCAUACAAGUAUGAGUCGCCACCACCACCAGUCUACAAAUACGAGUCUCCGCCACCCCCAGUUUACAAAUACAAGUCGCCCCCUCCACCUUAUUACUACAAGUCUCCGCCACCCCCGCCAUACAAAUAUGAAUCCCCACCUCCACCUCCCUACAAGUAUGAAUCGCCUCCUCCUCCACCUUACUACUACAAGUCCCCUCCACCACCUCCCUACAAAUAUGAAUCCCCGCCACCACCUCCCUAUAAAUACGAGUCACCACCACCACCACCUUACUAUUACAAAUCUCCUCCACCGCCUCCAUACAAGUAUGAGUCGCCACCACCACCUCCCUACAAAUACGAGUCACCACCACCACCACCUUACAAGUAUGAAUCCCCACCUCCACCUCCGUACAAGUAUGAAUCACCUCCACCGCCUCCAUACAAGUAUGAAUCCCCUCCUCCACCUCCCUACAAAUACGAGUCACCACCCCCACCACCUUAUUACUACAAAUCGCCUCCGCCACCGGAGUAUCAAUCACCUCCUUACGUGUAUAAAUCUCCACCUCCACCCUCGUACUAGGAGCUAAGGAGCAUUUGAUUUUCAGGUGAGAAAUCUAUAGAACCACAGUUCCUAGUUUUAACAAGUUUUCAAAUUCAU